CUUUUCACAGCUGCGUACGUGGAUGUGCCCGGAGCUGCUAAAAACGAUGAUGUCGCAACGUCUGGGUGGAUACGGGGGUCGUGGAGGAUCACCUACGCAAACAUAAGUAUUUGACAUGUAGGCAGACAUCAGCAACACUGCAAAGGUCCACCAUAUACUGCCAAAGGAAAUAUGUGAGUAAUUUAGGAUCUCGUCACUGACAGACAGCCGUCGUGCAUCGACAGAGACAUGUAUUUCACACUGAGAAGAGGAAACACGGAAAACCUGUCAAGUUUUUACAUGUGUCAUUUGAAAAAAUGCCUAAACCCAAAACAACAACAUAGACGGAGACUUAGUGCCAAGCUAUCCACAUUCAUGGAGUUAAGUAAGUUCAAUAUAGGACACAGGAUCAGCUCCCUGAGGUUAGUUUUCUUUUCCCUGUAUUUUUUAAUUUCUUUUAAUUUCUAAACCUCUCCGAGUUCAGCAAAGUUCAUCGAUUUCGCGAGCAGAUGUUGGUACUCACGUCGCUAAGGUAACGCACUAUGCUACCCCAGGAGACAGUUCGAAUUCUGAACCGUCUGAUUUACAUGCCAAAAUGAUAAAUGUGCAAAGAAUAAUGUUUAGUCAUUUAACUCUCAUGGUGCCUGCCAUGGACGUCAGUCAGCUGGCAUACCGCUCAGUGCCACACUGUGCUGACGUCGAAUUUUAAGUUACUAAAACGUAUACAUUGUAUAAAAAGGUGUCACAACGUUCUUAUUUAUUCACACAACGUUACAAAAUUCCACGAAAUAAUGGAGCUUUAUAUUGUCUUUCGGAAAGUCUAAACGUUGUUGCAAAAUGAGUUUUUAUUCCGAUGCCAACGUUGAAAGUGUGUGUCGUCUUUUUUUUCGUGUUUUCCUUACCAGUCCUGUAUAAAUUUGUGAACUAUGUUUAUGUCAACAUAUCAAGUUUAGUCUUUUUCAUUGUGUUUUCAUUUUUAUUUGCAGUUAUCGAUGUCAUCAUCGUUCACAAAGGGAAACCUGUCUGUACAGUACUACUAAGUCCAGUUUUCAUCAAACAGCCAUCUAACACAGAUGCAAACCCGGAAUUGGUGGUGUUGAUCUUGGCGCACUGAGACAGUUUCUGGUAACAUCGCGAUCUGAAUCUUGGAGCUUCAAUCUGUCCAUAUUCAGGUUGAAUUAUACGAAUACCUCUUCAUGUCAGUCAGAUCUCCGUCCGCUUUAACGAGGUCAUUUACUAUGUCAGGUGUCAAAUGGUCAGCCAUGUUUGUUUACAAACAACGCAGACGUA